CUUGCUGGGUGGAUUAGUGGCGAACGGGUGAGUAACACGUGGGUGAUCUGCCCUGCACUUCGGGAUAAGCCUGGGAAACUGGGUCUAAUACCGGAUAGGACCUCGGGAUGCAUGUUCCGGGGUGGAAAGGUUUUCCGGUGCAGGAUGGGCCCGCGGCCUAUCAGCUUGUUGGUGGGGUAACGGCCCACCAAGGCGACGACGGGUAGCCGGCCUGAGAGGGCGACCGGCCACACUGGGACUGAGACACGGCCCAGACUCCUACGGGAGGCAGCAGUGGGGAAUAUUGCACAAUGGGCGCAAGCCUGAUGCAGCGACGCCGCGUGAGGGAUGACGGCCUUCGGGUUGUAAACCUCUUUCAGUACCGACGAAGCGCAAGUGACGGUAGGUACAGAAGAAGCACCGGCCAACUACGUGCCAGCAGCCGCGGUAAUACGUAGGGUGCGAGCGUUGUCCGGAAUUACUGGGCGUAAAGAGCUCGUAGGCGGUUUGUCGCGUCGUCUGUGAAAACCCGCAGCUCAACUGCGGGCUUGCAGGCGAUACGGGCAGACUUGAGUACUGCAGGGGAGACUGGAAUUCCUGGUGUAGCGGUGAAAUGCGCAGAUAUCAGGAGGAACACCGGUGGCGAAGGCGGGUCUCUGGGCAGUAACUGACGCUGAGGAGCGAAAGCGUGGGUAGCGAACAGGAUUAGAUACCCUGGUAGUCCACGCCGUAAACGGUGGGCGCUAGGUGUGGGUUUCCUUCCACGGGAUCCGUGCCGUAGCUAACGCAUUAAGCGCCCCGCCUGGGGAGUACGGCCGCAAGGCUAAAACUCAAAGGAAUUGACGGGGGCCC
rnacentral:rRNA from 1 species